rnacentral:rRNA from 1 species
UACGGGGGGAGCAAGCGUUGUUCGGAUUUACUGGGCGUAAAGGGCGCGUAGGCGGCUUUAUAAGUCGGGGGUGAAAGCCUGUGGCUCAACCACAGAAUUGCCUUCGAUACUGUAUGGCUUGAGACCGGAAGAGGUAAGUGGAACUGCGAGUGUAGAGGUGAAAUUCGUAGAUAUUCGCAAGAACACCAGUGGCGAAGGCGGCUUACUGGUCCGGUUCUGACGCUGAGGCGCGAAAGCGUGGGGGAGCAAACAGG